GGCUCAGGAUGAACGCUAGCUACAGGCUUAACACAUGCAAGUCCGGGGCAUCAUGGGAGUUGCUUGCAACUUCCGAUGGCGACCGGCGCACGGGUGAGUAACGCGUAUCCAACCUGCCCCUUAGUAGGGAAUAGCCCGGCGAAAGUCGGAUUAAUGCCCUAUGUUCUCCGAAGCAGACAUCUAAUUCGGAGCAAAGGCCUCUGGCCGCUAUGGGAUGGGGAUGCGUCCGAUUAGCUGCCGGCGGGCAACGGCCCACCGGGGCGACGAUCGGUAGGGGUUCUGAGAGGAAGGUCCCCCACACUGGUACUGAGACACGGACCAGACUCCUACGGGAGGCAGCAGUGAGGAAUAUUGGUCAAUGGGCGUGAGCCUGAACCAGCCAAGUAGCGUGCAGGACGACGGCCCUACGGGUUGUAAACUGCUUUUACGCGGGGAUAAAGUGUGCCACGUGUGGCAUAUUGCAGGUACCGCGUGAAUAAGGACCGGCUAAUUCCGUGCC
rnacentral:rRNA from 1 species